rnacentral:rRNA from 1 species
CAGGUCAGCAUACUGCCGUGAAUACGUUCCCGGGCCUUGUACACACCGCCCGUCACACCAUGAGAGUUGGGAAUACCCGAAGCCUGUGAGCUAACGUUAAGAGGCAGCAGUCGAAGGUAGAAUCAAUGAUUGGGGGUGAAGUCGUAACAAGGUAGC